UGCGUAGGCGGACUAAUAAGUCAGUGGUGAAAUCUUUCGGCCCAACCGGGAAACUGCCAUUGAUACUGUUAGUCUUGAGUUCGGUUGAAGUAGGCGGAAUGUGUAAUGUAGCGGUGAAAUGCUUAGAUAUUACACAGAACACCAAUUGCGUAGGCAGCUUACUAGACCGACACUGACGCUGAGGCACGAAAGCGUGGGGAGCGAACAGGAUUAGAUACCCUGGUAGUCC
rnacentral:rRNA from 1 species